rnacentral:rRNA from 2 species
GGGGGGGACUGUUCUCCGGAUUAUUCGCGCGUAAACGAGCGCACGCCGUUUUUUAGGUCUGAUGUGAUAGCCUUCCGCUCCACCGAAGAAGUGCAUCGAGAAACUGGGAAACUUGAGUGCAGAGUAGGACAGAAGGAACUCCAUGUGUAGCGGUGAAAUGCGUAGAUAUAUGGAAGAACACCAGUGGCGAAGGCGGCUGUCUGGUCUGUAACUGACGCUGAGGCUCGAAAGUAUGGGUAGCAAACAGGAUUAGAUACCCUGGUAGUCCAUACCGUAAACGAUGAAUGCUAAGUGUUGGAGGGUUUCCGCCCUUCAGUGCUGCAGCUAACGCAUUAAGCAUUCCGCCUGGGGAGUACGGCCGCAAGGCUGAAACUCAAAGGAAUUGACGGGGGCCCGCACAAGCGGUGGAGCAUGUGGUUUAAUUCGAAGCUACGCGAAGAACCUUACCAGGUCUUGACAUACUAUGCAAAUCUAAGAGAUUAGACGUUCCCUUCGGGGACAUGGAUACAGGUGGUGCAUGGUUGUCGUCAGCUCGUGUCGUGAGAUGUUGGGUUAAGUCCCGCAACGAGCGCAACCCUUAUUAUCAGUUGCCAGCAUUAAGUUGGGCACUCUGGUGAGACUGCCGGUGACAAACCGGAGGAAGGUGGGGAUGACGUCAAAUCAUCAUGCCCCUUAUGACCUGGGCUACACACGUGCUACAAUGGAUGGUACAACGAGUUGCGAACUCGCGAGAGUAAGCUAAUCUCUUAAAGCCAUUCUCAGUUCGGAUUGUAGGCUGCAACUCGCCCUACAUGAAGUUCGGAUCGCCUAGUAAUCGCCGGAUCAGCAUGCCGCGGGUGAAUACGUUUCCCGGGGCCUUGUACACACCGGCCCGUCACACCAUGAAGAGUUUGUAACACCCAAAGUCGGUGGGGUAACCUUUUAGGAACCAGCCGCCUAAGGUGGGACAGAUGAUUAGGGUGAAGUCGUACAGAGGGGAAACCCGAAAAAAGAAAAU